GGUCCGCAUUGUAAUUUGUAGAGGAUGCUUUGGGGCAGCCGCCUGUCUAAGUUCCUUGGAACAGGACGUCAUAGAGGGUGAGAAUCCCGUAUGUGACAGGACAUGGCACCCUAUGUAAAGCUCCUUCGACGAGUCGAGUUGUUUGGGAAUGCAGCUCUAAAUGGGAGGUAAAUUUCUUCUAAAGCUAAAUACCGGCGAGAGACCGAUAGCGCACAAGUAGAGUGAUCGAAAGAUGAAAAGCACUUUGGAAAGAGAGUUAAAAAGCACGUGAAAUUGUUGAAAGGGAAGCGCUUGCAAUCAGACUUGUUCUGACUGUUCGGCCGGUCUUCUGACCGGUUUAUUCAGUCUGGGCAGGCCAGCAUCAGUUUCGGCGGUCGGAUAAAGGCCCUGGGAAUGUGGCUCUGCCUUCGGGGAGAGUGUUAUAGCCCAGGGUGUAAUACGGCCAGCCGGGACUGAGGUCCGCGCUUCGGCUAGGAUGCUGGCGUAAUGGUUGUAAGCGAC
rnacentral:rRNA from 1 species